rnacentral:rRNA from 1 species
UACGGAAGGCAGCAGUGGGGAAUAUUGCACAAUGGGCGCAAGCCUGAUGCAGCCAUGCCGCGUGUAUGAAGAAGGCCUUCGGGUUGUAAAGUACUUUCAGUCGUGAGGAAGGUGUUAAGGUUAAUAACCUUAGCAAUUGACGUUAGCGACAGAAGAAGCACCGGCUAACUCCGUGCCAGCAGCCGCGGUAAUACGGAGAGGGCUAGCGUUAUUCGGAAUUAUUGGGCGUAAAGAGCGCGUAGGCUGAUUAGUAAGUUAAAAGUGAAAUCCCAAAGCUAACUUUGGAAUUGCUUUUUAAAACUGCUAGUCUAGAGAUUGAAAGAGGAUAGAGGAAUUCCUAGUGUAGAGGUGAAAUUCGUAAAUAUUAGGAGGAACACCAGUGGCGAAAGGCGUCUAUCUGGGUUCAAAUCUGACGCUGAGGCGCGAAGGCGUGGGGAGCAAACAGGGAUUAGGAUACC